AGUGAACGCUGGCGGUAGGCCUAACACAUGCAAGUCGAACGGCAGCACAGUAAGAGCUUGCUCUUACGGGUGGCGAGUGGCGGACGGGUGAGGAAUACAUCGGAAUCUACUUUUUCGUGGGGGAUAACGUAGGGAAACUUACGCUAAUACCGUAUACGACCUACGGGGGAAAGCAGGGGAUCUUCGGACCUUGCGCGAUUGAAGGAGCCGAUGUCGGAUUAGCUAGUUGGCGGGGUAAAGGCCCACCAAGGCGACGAUCCGUAGCUGGUCUGAGAGGAUGAUCAGCCACACUGGAACUGAGACACGGUCCAGACUCCUACGGGAGGCAGCAGUGGGGAAUAUUGGACAAUGGGCGCAAGCCUGAUCCAGCCAUACCGCGUGGGUGAAGAAGGCCUUCGGGUUGUAAAGCCCUUUUGUUGGGAAAGAAAAGCAGCAGGUUAAUACCCCGCUGUUCUGACGGUACCCAAAGAAUAAGCACCGGCUAACUUCGUG
rnacentral:rRNA from 1 species